GGGCGAGCGUUAUCCGGAUUCAUUGGGCGUAUAGCGCGCGUAGGCGGCCUGCUAGGUCGGGACUCAAAUCCGGGGGCUCAACCCCCGCCCGGUCCCGAUACCGACAGGCUUGAGUCUGGUAGGGGAAGGCGGAAUUCCAAGUGUAGCGGUGGAAUGCGCAGAUAUUUGGAAGAACACCGGUGGCGAAGGCGGCCUUCUGGGCCACGACUGACGCUGAGGCGCGAAAGCUAGGGGAGC
rnacentral:rRNA from 1 species